UACAGAGGUCUCGAGCGUUAGGCGGAAUCACUGGGCUUAAAGCGUGUGUAGGCGGAUUGCUAAGUACCUUGUGAAAUCCCCACGGCUUAACCGUGGAACUGCUUGGCAUACUGGCGGUCUUGAGCCACUUAGGGGCAACCGGAACAAAUGGUGGAGCGGUGAAAGUGCGUAGAUAUCAUUUGGAACGCCAAUGGUGAAAACAGGUUGCUGGGAGUGUGCUGACGCUGAGACACGAAAGCCAGGGGAGCGAACGGG
rnacentral:rRNA from 1 species